rfam:Dehalogenimonas formicexedens strain NSZ-14 chromosome, complete genome.
AGAAUCUUUCUAUACCAGAGUAGCCUGUUGAUCAGGUGAACGGGUGCAAGUCCGGUGAAAGUCCGGCACAGUACCGCCUGCUGUAAUCCCAAUCUUCUUGGGAGAGUCAGAACCCCGGCUCAGGUCGAGUGUUUCUC